GGAGCAUGUGGUUCAAUUCGAUGCAACGCGAAAAACCUUACCUGGGUUUGACAUCCUUUGACAGUCCCUGAAAGGGGAUCUUUCCCGAUUUAUCGGGACAAAGUGACAGGUGCUGCAUGGCUGUCGUCAGCUCGUGUCGUGAGAUGUUGGGUUAAGUCCCGCAACGAGCGCAACCCUUGUCUUUAGUUGCCAAUAUUAAGUUAGGCACUCUAAUGAUACUGCCCCGGUUAACGGGGAGGAAGGUGGGGAUGACGUCAAGUCCUCAUGGCCUUUAUACCCAGGGCUACACACGUGCUACAAUGGGCUAUACAAAGGGCUGCCACUCUGCAAAGAGGAGCUAAUCCCAAAAAGUAGUCCUAAGUUCGGAUUGGAGUCUGCAACUCGACUCCAUGAAGCUGGAAUCGCUAGUAACCGUGGAUCAGCAUUCCACGGUGAAUACGUUCCCGGGCCUUGUACACACCGCCCGUCACACCACGAAAGUU
rnacentral:rRNA from 1 species